CCAUUUUAUUUCAUUCUAAACCAGUGCUCGCCUUUUAAUAGUUCGUUUUUGUGAAAUUAGCGGUAAGCGUUUUUAUUUAUCAAGAGGAAAAAUACCUGGUUAAUUUAAUUAAAGACAUUAACUUUUGCACCAAAAUGAUCAAAGCACCAGAAAAUAUUUAUCCAGCGGGUAUUAAGCUAGAGGAACAUCAGAAUGGAGGAGAAGUGGAAAUUGAUCACCUUCGCAAAAUGUUCAUUGGCGGCCUGUCGGCAGUAACAACCGAAGAGUCACUUCGCGCUUUCUAUAAGCAAUGGGGCGAUGUAGUUGACGCGAUAGUAAUGCGUGAUCCAGCAACAAAGCGUUCCCGGGGAUUUGGAUUUAUUACAUACUCUGACACGUAUAUGGUUGAUCGCGCACAAGCCGCACGACCACAUGUAAUUGACGGAAAGCAGGUAGAUUCAAAGCGUGCUUUGCCCAAGCCUGAACUUGGAAAGCCAGAAGCUAGUACUACAGUAAAAAAAAUCUUUGUUGGCGGCUUAAAAGAAAAUCACGAUGAACAGACUUUAACCGAACACUUUUCACAAUUCGGUAAUGUAGUUGGAGUUAAAAUUCUAACGGAUAAAACAACUGGUCGCAAACGGGGCUUUGCAUUUGUAGAGUUUGAUGACUAUGAUGCAGUGGACAAAGCAGUGUUGCACAAAAAUCACACAAUUAAAUAUGUUCUGGUAGAUGUGAAAAAAUCAGUUUACAAACAAGAGUUGGCUAAGAAACGCGCCACGCAGGCACAACAGGCAGGCGUUCCCCCAGGCGGAGCACCGCCAGCAAAUGGCUACCAACAACCUGCCACGCCCUAUGCCCAACAGCCAGCUUAUGGAUAUCCACCACAAAUGGGUCCACCGGCAUACAAUGGAUGGGGAGGAUAUCCCCAAGCUGCGCCACCAGCUGCAUACCAACAACCACCUCCAGCUGCACCUGUCGCGGGCUAUGGCGCUUAUACAGCUCCGCCUCAAAACGGUGGUGCUCCUGGCUGGGGUGCGCCUGCCGCUUAUCCAGCACCUGCAGCUUGGCCGCAAAAUGGUUACGCAGCAGCCCCACCCGCUGCUGCACCUGUCCCACCACCAGCUGCCGCACCUGCAGCUGCACCUGCCGUAAAUAGUUGGAAUGGUGCUGCUGCUGCUCCAACUCCAGCCGCUCCUCAAAAUUUUGGUGAUUACCAACAAUCAUACAACGGUGGCCCACAAAAAGCAGGCAGCUUACAAGGAAACAGAAUGAACCCAUAUAGUGUGUCGUCAGCGCCUAGUUAUGAAACGUUCUUCACAGGGUCAGCCGCUUCUGCCGGUUACCUGAAUACGUCGAAAUCGGCGGGCAUGUGUUCAUCUGUAAACUCUGCUUAUAAAACACAGACAAAGCACUUAUACUAGACUAUAGAAAUAAAGCGGAUUAAACCAACCAUUAUGUACAAUAUAAAGCUAUUCAGUAAGAAAAUUGACUUAAAAAAACGGAAGGGGGAAAUACUUCAAAAUUAUAUAUGAAUGCGUGUUGCCACAGGCAUUUAAGAUGUAUGCUUAUACAUAAAAUUAAAGUACUACUACAUAAAUAACCAGAAUUAUUUUAAGAGAAACAAGUAAAAAAAUUCAAACCAACCCAAAUCCAACCCCAUGAAAGAAAGAUUUACAUAAAAUGCACUACGUACAUUACAUAGAGCAAUACAAAGAACAAAACGUAAAAACGCACUUCAUUAAGGAUGAAUAUCGAUAUUUAUAGUUUCAAUAUAUGUAUGAAUCUAUGUAUUUUUAAACUAUAAUUUAAAUAAUCCAUAUGCUGGUAUAUACACAUUAAUAUGUAGCGUACAGCAAUAAUAUAGUAGAUCACUUAAUUAGAUGAUGAUUCUUAAUAUCGGAUAAAGUUUUGCCCAUACACAUUACCAGCGUGCUUACAUUUUGACAUAACAAAUAACAAAACAAAAAUGUGAAAUAGCGCAGUGCAAAGAAAAAACCAAAUUAGAUUCCCAGCGAAACACGGAUCAAAAAUGCCUGCUGCAAUAAGAAACUCACCAGCAUUCAAUCACAUAUACAGACAUUGAUCAAUAUGAUAAGAAGCUUAACAUAUAUAAAUUAUCGGCACAGCUGCAAAAGCGCUUCAGAGCUAGCAUGAAACUCUAAAAAGAACGGCAAUGGUUAUUGCUAUUUGUUAUAUUUAUCUUUGCAAUUGAAAAUUGAAGGAUUUUGUUUUAUUUAAUUUUGCUUUUGUUUUUUCUUUAUAUAUAAAACAAGAGAAGUGAACUGUUUGCUUAACAUCCAUGACAUUAAACUUUUUGCUUAAAACAACACCAAUUUCCUUCUAUUUUGUGGCACUUAACUCAUAGAACAGCUGAGUGUGUGUUUUUUUCUUUUGAAUUAGAACUUAAAAUAUUGAAAAUUAUUAAAUGUUUCUAAACGUUGCAAAAUUAAACAAAAACAAAAAAUUUCAAACAAAAAAUAAAAACAAACAUUUUUUACUAUAAUGAUAAUUAAAUAAGUGUGUUACAAUAUAUAUUGUAUUUAGUAGUAAUAUGUAUAAAUACAUUUAUAAUACUUGCGAUUAAAAGCUGAAUUACAAAUAAAGUAUACUAUGCAAUACA